AGUGUUUUUUUAGUUUUUGCUCAGGAUGAACGCUGGCGGCGUGCCUAAUACAUGCAAGUCGAACGCACAGCGAAAGGUGCUUGCACCUUUCAAGUGAGUGGCGAACGGGUGAGUAACACGUGGACAACCUGCCUCAAGGCUGGGGAUAACAUUUGGAAACAGAUGCUAAUACCGAAUAAAACUCAGUGUCGCAUGACACAAAGUUAAAAGGCGCUUUGGCGUCACCUAGAGAUGGAUCCGCGGUGCAUUAGUUAGUUGGUGGGGUAAAGGCCUACCAAGACAAUGAUGCAUAGCCGAGUUGAGAGACUGAUCGGCCACAUUGGGACUGAGACACGGCCCAAACUCCUACGGGAGGCUGCAGUAGGGAAUCUUCCACAAUGGGCGAAAGCCUGAUGGAGCAACGCCGCGUGUGUGAUGAAGGCUUUCGGGUCGUAAAGCACUGUUGUAUGGGAAGAACAGCUAGAAUAGGGAAUGAUUUUAGUUUGACGGUACCAUACCAGAAAGGGACGGCUAAAUACGUGCCAGCAGCCGCGGUAAUACGUAUGUCCCGAGCGUUAUCCGGAUUUAUUGGGCGUAAAGCGAGCGCAGACGGUUGAUUAAGUCUGAUGUGAAAGCCCGGAGCUCAACUCCGGAAUGGCAUUGGAAACUGGUUAACUUGAGUGCAGUAGAGGUAAGUGGAACUCCAUGUGUAGCGGUGGAAUGCGUAGAUAUAUGGAAGAACACCAGUGGCGAAGGCGGCUUACUGGACUGUAACUGACGUUGAGGCUCGAAAGUGUGGGUAGCAAACAGGAUUAGAUACCCUGGUAGUCCACACCGUAAACGAUGAACACUAGGUGUUAGGAGGUUUCCGCCUCUUAGUGCCGAAGCUAACGCAUUAAGUG
rnacentral:rRNA from 1 species